AACGAACGCUGGCGGCGCGCUUAAUACAUGCAAGUCGAACGAGAAGGUGUAGCAAUACACUUGUAAAGUGGCGAACGGGUGAGGAAUACAUGGGUAACCUACCCUCGAGUGGGGAACAACCAGCCGAAAGGUUGGCUAAUACCGCGUACGCUUCCGGGUCUUCGGAUUCGGAAGGAAAGUCAUACCGUGGGUAUGACGCUCAAGGAUGGGCUCAUGUCCUAUCAGCUUGUUGGUAGGGUAACGGCCUACCAAGGCUUCGACGGGUAGCUGGUCUGAGAGGACGAUCAGCCACACUGGCACUGCGACACGGGCCAGACUCCUACGGGAGGCAGCAGUAAGGAAUAUUGCGCAAUGGGCGAAAGCCUGACGCAGCGACGCCGCGU
rnacentral:rRNA from 1 species